rnacentral:rRNA from 1 species
GAUGAACGCUGGCGGCGUGCCUAAUACAUGCAAGUCGAGCGAACAGAUGAGGAGCUUGCUCCUCUGACGUUAGCGGCGGACGGGUGAGUAACACGUGGAUAACCUACCUAUAAGACUGGGAUAACUUCGGGAAACCGGAGCUAAUACCGGAUAAUAUAUUGAACCGCAUGGUUCAAUAGUGAAAGACGGUUUUGCUGUCACUUAUAGAUGGAUCCGCGCCGCAUUAGCUAGUUGGUAAGGUAACGGCUUACCAAGGCAACGAUGCGUAGCCGACCUGAGAGGGUGAUCGGCCACACUGGAACUGAGACACGGUCCAGACCCCUACGGGAGGCAGCAGUAGGGAAUCUUCCGCAAUGGGCGAAAGCCUGACGGAGCAACGCCGCGUGAGUGAUGAAGGUCUUCGGAUUGUAAAACUCUGUUAUUGGGGAAGAACAAAUGUGUAAGUAACUAUGCACGUCUUGACGGUACCUAAUCAGAAAGCCACGGCUAACUACGUG